rnacentral:rRNA from 1 species
AGCUUGCUUUUUUCACUCAGUGGCGGACGGGUGAGUAACGCGUGAGUAACCUGCCUUUCAGAGGGGGAUAACGUUCUGAAAAGAACGCUAAUACCGCAUAAGAUUGUAGCUUCGCAUGGAGCAGCAAUCAAAGGAGCAAUCCGCUGAAAGAUGGACUCGCGUCCGAUUAGAUAGUUGGCGGGGUAACGGCCCACCAAGUCGACGAUCGGUAGCCGGACUGAGAGGUUGAUCGGCCACAUUGGGACUGAGACACGGCCCAGACUCCUACGGGAGGCAGCAGUGAGGGAUAUUGGGCAAUGGGGGAAACCCUGACCCAGCAACGCCGCGUGAGGGAUGACGGUUUUCGGAUUGUAAACCUCUGUCCUCUGUGAAGAUAGUGACGGUAGCAGAGGAGGAAGCUCCGGCUAACUACGUGCCAGCAGCCGCGGUAAUACGUAGGGAGCAAGCGUUGUCCGGAUUUACUGGGUGUAAAGGGUGCGUAGGCGGAUUGGCAAGUCAGAAGUGAAAUCCAUGGGCUUAACCCAUGAACUGCUUUUGAAACUGUUAGUCUUGAGUGAAGUAGAGGUAGGCGGAAUUCCCGGUGUAGCGGUGAAAUGCGUAGAGAUCGGGAGGAACACCAGUGGCGAAGGCGGCCUACUGGGCUUUAACUGACGCUGAGGCACGAAAGUGUGGGUAGCAAACAGGAUUAGAUACCCUGGUAGUCCACACUGUAAACGAUGAUUACUAGGUGUGGGGGGUCUAACCCCCUCCGU